GCCAGCCACCGCGGUCACACAAGAGACCCAAAUUAACUGUACACGGCGUAAAGAGUGGAACUAUGAUAUCAUAAUAACUAGGAUCGAAAUACAGCUAAGCCGUCAUAAGCUCAAGAUGUACUUAAGACCCGCAUUAAGAUGAUUCUAGCGUUCUUGAUUAAUUUAACUCCACGAAAGCUAGGGCCCAAACUGGGAUUAGAUACCCCAUUAUGCCUAGCCCUAAAUCUUGAUGUUUACCAUACCAAAGCAUCCGCCUGAGAACUACGAGCACAAACGCUUAAAACUCUAAGGACUUGGCGGUGCCCCAAACCCACCUAGAGGAGCCUGUUCUGUAAUCGAUAACCCACGAUUUACCCAACCACCCCUCGCUAAGGCAGCCUACAUACCGCCGUCGCCAGCUCACCUUCACUGAAAGCCCAACAGUGAGCACAAUAGCUCAACUCGCUAGCAAGACAGGUCAAGGUAUAGCCUAUGGGGUGGAAGAAAUGGGCUACAUUUUCUAUAAUAGAAAACCCACGAAAGGAGGCAUGAAACAGCCUCCGGAAGGUGGAUUUAGCAGUAAAGCGGGACAAUAGAGCCCCCUUUAAGUUGGCCCUGGGGCACGUACAUACCGCCCGUCACCCUCCUCACAAGCCACAAACCAUCAUAACUAAUAACUCCCACGGCUGAAGAUGAGGUAAGUCGUAACAAGGUAAGUGUACCGGA
rnacentral:rRNA from 1 species